rnacentral:rRNA from 1 species
CAUGAAGUUGGAAUCGCUAGUAAUCGCGGAUCAGCAUGCCGCGGUGAAUACGUUCCCGGGCCUUGUACACACCGCCCGUCACACCAUGAGAGUCGGGAACACCCGAAGUCCGUAGCCUAACAGCAAUGGGGGCGCGGCCGAAGGUGGGUUCGAUAAUUGGGGUGAAGUCGUAACAAGGUAUC